UGAGAUAGAUGAAAAAAUGAUGAUGGAACUUGGCCUGUUAGGUUGUUACUGGAAAGUUCCUAAAUAUUCCAGUUUCAUUAAAUAUCCAUAAACAUUUGGGAUCUCACCGUUAAGUUUAUUUUCUAAAAGGUCCAAAUAUGUUAGUUGGGUGAGAUAGAUGAAAAAAUGAUGAUGGAACUUGGCCUGUUAGGUUGUUACUGGAAAGUUCUAAAUAUUCCAGUUUCAUUAAAUAUCCAUAAACAUUUUGGAUCUCACCGUUAAGUUUAUUUUCUAAAAGGUCCAAAUAUGUUAGUUGGGUGAGGUUCCACAAAGGUAGAGGAAUCGUCCCAUCUAAAUUGCAUUCUUGAAGGGAUAAAUGAGUUAGAGACUUCAAUUGACCUAUGGAAUAAAGAAUUUCACCUGAGAAAGGAAUGGAAGAGAGGUCCAAGUACCUUAGAGCCAUGCUCCAGUUGGACUUUGGAAGUUGACCAAUAAGGUGAUUAUAUGACAAAUCUAGUUUUUGAAGGUUGGGUAAAGAGAGGACGUCACUUGACAAAUUUCCUUG
rnacentral:lncRNA from 1 species